rnacentral:misc_RNA from 1 species
CUUCCAUCUUUCGUUGCACACGGGCGCAGACACACACUUGGAUCGGCGCCCACAUUCUCGCUGGCUCGUUCGCAGAGAUCCUACGCAUCUCUCUCAUGCAAAGUGCGAGCGCAGCUCUUCCCCGCAGGGGCGGCAGCAGCGGUGGCGCGGGCGUCGCGGUGGUCACCGCGGGACUGCUACUGGAAACAUCCCUCGGGCCCCUCGCGGUUGACCUCUUUGGCGCGGACUGCUCUGCGCUGACGGCGAACUUCUUGAACCUGUGCAGAGCGCAGCUGUGGAACGGCGCGGUGGCGACGGAAGUAGUGCCAGAUGUGGCGGUAUUCUUCUCCCUUGCUGCAGACCCGGUGUACAAGGAGCUGCUUGAAAAGCUGCUGCGCUCGCACUCGGCGGGUGCAGCGGCACCACCUGGCCCAGGCCCGCUGAACUUCUGGAGUCUGCUGCCCAGACAGGACCAUGCGGAGGGCGAUGCGUCGCCGACGGUGUCCACCGCCACCGUAUCCUUGCACAGUCAUGCUGCAGCCUCUGUUCCUUCAACUGCUGACCCCGUAGAGCAGCAAGAGACGGCAGUGCGGCGGGCAAUGCAACAGGAGGCACGACUGUGCAAGCGGCGGCGUUGUGUCGGACUUGCCCCGUCUAGGGCUGGUGACAGGAACGCGAAAGGCGGCUAUAAACCGGUGUACGUGCACGCGUCCGGCAGCAGUGGCGCAGCUGUGGCCACUAAUGCAGCUCAUGUAAGUGCUUCGCCCAGCGCCAGCUCGCCUUGCACGGUAUGCCGUGCCGGAAGCCUGCUCGUGGAUGCGUCAGCGCCUACACUGCGCUUCGGUCUCACAUUGUCCGAUCGCACGAUGGACUUCCUCGACAAGCAGUACAUCACGAUUGGCGUGGUGCGCGAGGGUGAGGCGGUGCUGCGCCGGAUACGUCGUGCUCCAGUCCGCGACCGCUGCAGAGACGACGCGCCGACGACGGCUGGCGCCGGGCCUUUGGCGGCUGUUGGCAUUGUGGCGGGCCGGCCAGCGCUGUCGUGGCCGCGGCCCGUGCGGAUGCUGCGCGUGAAGCGAGCGACGGUGCUUCCCACAGCCGGUACCGAGAAGUACGUGGCAGUCCCUCCCUCGGCGUGGUGGGGGUGUCGUCAACAGCGGGCAGCGCAGCUGCCAUGGAGCAGCAGCGGCAGCGCACUGCAGCGGCGCUGCACCAGGCUGGAUGCUUCGAAUGGUGGGCCUCGGAGGCGGCUGUGCGCGCCGCUCACCGUGAGUUAGUGGAACUGGUGCGGAGCAGCCUCGUGGCGCACGGGUAUGUGGCCAUCACGCGCCCUCGAACCGUUGCUGACGCGUCCAUCUACUUGCAGACAGCCGCCGCAUCAACAGGGAGGCACGCCGCACAGCCGCUUAUUGUCGUUGCCGCUGCACCAGCGCAGACGAGGAGUGAUGGCGAAGCUGCUACGUCUCCCGGUGAGCUGGAGCUGGUGUGCAACCCGCACUACGCUGGUGACUACUUGAGCUCCGAGGACGACGACACGGAGGGGUUCCACGACGGCGGCCAACCGCCUCACCACAGCACUACCGCGGCGCUCUCGGCGAAGCAGUUGGAGGAGCGCCGCAAGAGCUUCAUGCAGCAGCACCAGGAGAAGGCCAACGAGACGCUCUCGCUCAUGCUGAACUUGCUGAACGGCGUGGCCGACGUGCGAGGCGACAUCAAGCCACCGGACAACGUUUUGUUUGUGUGCAAGCUGAACCCUGUGACGACAGGGGAGGGGCUCGCGCUCUGCUUCUCCCAGUUCGGCCGUGUAACCUCCGCCGACGUCAUCUACGACGCGAAGACAAAGCAGUCUCUCUGCUACGGCUUCGUCGAAUUCGAGAGCGUUGAGGCGUGCUUUCGGGCCUUCCAGAAGAUGGACCGGGCUCUCAUCGACGACUGCCGUAUCCACGUCGACUUCUCCCAGUCUGUGUCGAAGCUGUGGGCGCAGCGGCAGCGGGAAAUGCGGAAGCGUGACCGCGUUGCCUUGGAGGGAGUCGCUGUGACUCGAAAAGGUAUAGAGAGAGGCAGGCAACGAUGAUGGAGUGCGCGCCGCUGUCGAAGGAACCACAAUCAACCAACCAACCAACGUGAAGCCAGG